UACAGAGGUCUCAAGCGUUGUUCGGAUUCAUUGGGCGUAAAGGGUGCGUAGGCGGCGCGGUAAGUCGGGUGUGAAAUCUUGGAGCUUAACUCCGAAACUGCAUUCGAUACUGCCGUGCUUGAGGACUGGAGAGGAGACUGGAAUUUACGGUGUAGCAGUGAAAUGCGUAGAUAUCGUAAGGAAGACCAGUGGCGAAGGCGAAUCUCUGGACAGUUACUGACACUGAGGCACGAAGGCCAGGGGAGCAAACGGG
rnacentral:rRNA from 1 species